rnacentral:piRNA from 1 species
UGCAAAAGUUGUUCCUGUGAAAGCCA